CGCAGUGCGGGCCGCGCCCCGGCGCCAUCCCCUCAGUGUCGGCGCGGCGCGGUGAGGGCAGGGCCGGGCUGGGCCGGGCUGUGCGGGGCCGCUCCGGGCAUGGCGGAGAAGAAGCAGCCGGUGGACCUGGGGCUCCUGGAGGAGGACGACGAGUUCGAGGAGUUCCCGGCGGAAGAUUGGACUGGUUUAGAUGAAGAUGAAGAUGCUCAUGUCUGGGAAGACAACUGGGAUGAUGACAAUGUAGAAGAUGAUUUCUCCAAUCAGUUAAGAGCUGAAUUAGAAAAACAUGGAUACAAAAUGGAAACGUCAUAGUUUUUGCUGAUACGGAACAAACAUUGAACUGUGGAUAGACUAUAUUGAGAAAACAUGGAAAGUGAGAAGACAGUAACAUUAUCUGCUUGGAUUACUUAUUGUUUUGUAUGAAAAAUAAAGUUUUUAAUCUUAGCCGAAGUCAUAUGUUCAGCCUCUGCUAAACUGGUAACCUGUAUUUCGGUUCUUAAAUGCUUUGUGUGACAGCUCACAGAGAAUGCUACUGGAGAUCUCUCAGUGGCUGAUGUUAUUGCACCAGCUCCAGUGAUGGGGAGUCAAAUAAGCAUGACCACAAUGCAAACUACUGAACAUCUCUGUCAUAAGUGAUGUGGAGUGUUUAAGAAAAGAAAUCAUGAAAGAAAUAAAAUGCUUCUGUAUUCCAGUCAAAAUGCAGCAGAGGUAGAAAGGAUUCUUAGGGAGUAAAGUAAUAAAGCUCAUUUUGCCUUAAG